GAGAUAUUAGUAAAUAUAAUUACAUCACCUUGUCAAGGUGGAAUAGCAGGUUAAAAUCUUGUAUAUCUUU
rnacentral:tRNA from 1 species